CCAGCCUCAGCAACUUCUCUUGCAUCCUUUAACUCCAUUCAGACCCUUAUUCAUCAAGGAACCAUAGAUUCCGAAACUGGUAAGAAACAAAUAAACCCUUCUUUCAUCAAUUUGCUUAUCAAAAUUGUCAAGACACUAAUCAUAUAAGUGUUUUUUAUAGAUUGUUUGUGGAAUCAAUCUUCCAACUUGAAAUCCUAAGAAAAUACAAAAUUCAAUUACUCACCUUUGCAUUCAUUGUACCAGUUUAUUAGAGUUUUUUAUUCAAACCAAUAAAUCAUGAAUAUUUUAUAUAAUAAAGUUAAAACACAACUUGUAACUUAAAACUUUAAACAAUGAACGUGUAUUUUUUAUAUAUAUAUAUAUAUAUAUAUAUAUAUAUAUAUAUAUAUAUAAUACUCUUCAAGUUUUGAUUGAACUCACAUUUCAAAUCCUAAGAUAAAUGAAGAAAAAUACAUUUAAAAUUGCUAAGAUAAAUGAAGAAAAUUUGAGUGAUUAUGAAUUGAUUAGUACUUUCCUAUAUUAUUCUUGUCAUAUGCUGCCAAAUUGUGUUGCGUCGUUUAUUGGUCUGGUUUUGGAGACUUUUCAUCAUUGUACGAAGCUUUACAUCGUUUCCUUGAUGGCUUAACUUUUAGAAUUAGUUUUAGGUUAGAUUAAACAUUUACACUUUAUACUUCGCACAAAUGGAAAAGUCCGACAUUAUUAUUUUGUUGUUAUUAGACUCUAUCAAAAAUGUUGUUUAGAAAUCAAUUCUUACUUUUCAUAAAGUUUUAAUAAUGAUAGAUUUUGCUAAGUUGUCCACCACUUAAUAUUUUUGAGAUAGCAUGAUAUCAGCAAAAUCUAGAAUUCCAAACUCUAGAAAAGGACACAGAUAGAUUGCAGUUUUACUUCUCGUAUUUAUACUUUGUUUUAAAUCUUACUUUUUAAUUGUAUCAAUUAAAUUUCAUAGCCGAUAAAAAAAUUAAUUAAGUUUCAUAGACAUAAAUUAGAUUCCAUAAGUACAAUAAUCCGUGAUUACCCAAUUGCUUAAAUUGAUUUUUUUUUUUUUGCAUAUUUGAGAUACUUACAAUUUUAUUAUUUUAAUCCCUAAUGUAUAUAUUAUUUCAUAUAAAUCAAUAAAAAUGGUGUUGGCCUAUUCAAUGGAGGAUAAAAAUUCUACUGCUGUAAUAUAUGAAAUAUGCAUUUGAUUAAAUUGAAGCUAACAUAUCAAAACUACGCGUUUGAGAUAUUUGAGAAUCUAAUUAACAUAAUUAAAAUUUGAGAUAUUAAAAUUUCUAUAAUUACAAUAUAUAAAACACUAAAAGUGUAAUUAAACUAUUUUUUAAAUUAUAUUACAAAUCACAUAUUAAUUAAAAAC
rnacentral:lncRNA from 1 species